rnacentral:sRNA from 1 species
GAGGAGUCUUUCUUCCAGCUCUCCCCUGAAAGUCCUCCAGGACUUUUUUCUGCCUUUUGUUUCCCUCCCCGGGAGUCGGCGCGACAGUGAAUUUCCGUUUCCUGCGGUGUCCAAGCGGACUUGAGGAGUCGCAGUUGUGAGCAGGUUAGAGUUAGUUGUUAUUGGUAAACAGCCACUAUGGAGACUAAGGACCAGAAGAAACAAAGAAAGAAAAACAGUGGACCCAAAGCUGAAAAGGAAAAGAAGCGGCAUCUGCAGGAUCUCCAGCUAGGAGACAAAGAAGAUGCCUGGAAGAGAAAUCCCAACGCUUUUGCAGUUCAGUCUGCUGUGUGGAUGGCUCGAUCCUUUCACAGGACUCAGGAUUUGAAGAAAAAAAAGCAUCAUAUUCCAGUGGUUGAUCGAACUCCAGUAGAGCCCCCACCAAUAGUGGUAGUGGUGACGGGGCCUCCAAAGUUGGAAAGAGCACUUUGAUACAAUGCCUCAUUCGGAACUUCAUUGGCAGAAGUUGACCGAGAUCAGAGGCCCUGUGACGAUCGUGUCAG